CCUACGGGAGGCAGCAGUGGGGAAUAUUGGGCAAUGGGCGAAAGCCUGACCCAGCGACGCCGCGUGCGGGAUGAAGGCCUUCGGGUUGUAAACCGCUUUCAGCAGGGAAGAAGCGAAAGUGACGGUACCUGAAGAAGAAGCACCGGCUAACUAUGUGCCAGCAGCCGCGGUAAUACAUAGGGUGCAAGCGUUGUCCGGAAUUAUUGGGCGUAAAGAGCUCGUAGGUGGUUCGUUACGUCGGAUGUGAAAACCUGAGGCUCAACCUCAGGCCUGCAUUCGAUACGGGCGAACUUGAGUGUGGUAGGGGAGGCUGGAAUUCCUGGUGUAGCGGUGGAAUGCGCAGAUAUCAGGAGGAACACCAAUGGCGAAGGCAGGCCUCUGGGCCACUACUGACACUGAGGAGCGAAAGCGUGGGGAGCAAACAGGAUUAGAUACCCUGGUAGUCCACGCUGUAAACGGUGGGCACUAGUUGUGGGAACCUUCCACGGUUUCUGCGACGUAGCAAACGCAUUAAGUGCCCCGCCUGGGGAGUACGAUCGCAAGAUUAAAACUCAAAGGAAUUGACGGAAACUCAAAUGAAUUGACGGAAA
rnacentral:rRNA from 1 species